CACGUAGGGCGCAAGCGUUGUCCGGAAUUAUUGGGCGUAAAGGGCGCGUAGGCGGCUUUGCAAGUGGCGGGUGAAAGCCCUCGGCUUAACCGAGGAACUGCCUGUCAGACUGUGAGGCUUGAGACCGGGAGAGGUGAGUGGAAUUCCCAGUGUAGCGGUGAAAUGCGUAGAUAUUGGGAGGAACACCAGUGGCGAAGGCGGCUCACUGGACCGGAACUGACGCUGAGGCGCGAAAGCGUGGGGAGCAAACAGG
rnacentral:rRNA from 1 species